rnacentral:rRNA from 1 species
AAAGGGAUUGGAUUCAAGUCCUACCGUGUGUUUGGGUCGUCCGUGCCAGAUGGCGCUGGUCGCCCGCGGCGAUUUAUUUCGCUUGCGGUGUCGUUCCCGGCGAUCACUCGGUCACGUGGCUGAAUCCCAGCACCGGAGGAGUGCACUUCCUCCCUAGUAGAAACGUCGCGACCCGUUGGGUGCCGGUCCAAGGCCCGGGACGGCAGACCGUGUGUCCUGUGGGGGUUCCCACAGGCGUGCGGACUCCUGGUGACCCGGCCGGCUGCCCGACGGUAUGACCAGAGGAGUCGAUCCGCUGCAAGUGAAACACUGUGGUUGUGUAGCGUCCGGCCUGGCGCCGGGGCGUGCGGGGAUUGAGGUGUAAACCGGGGGUGUCCGUGCGAAGCACGGCCCCGGCCCCGCUGCGUUCCCGGAUACGUCGGUGACCUCGGACUGGAUCAGCACUCCCGUCUGCGACGCCCACCUUCGGAUGGUCUCCCG